UGGUUGAUCCUGCCAGUGGUAUAUGCUUGUCUCAAGGACUAAGCCAUGCAAGUCUAGGUAUGAGUGAUUGUACAACGAAACUGCGAAUGGCUCGGUAAAACAGCUAUAGUUUCUUCGACGCUAAACUACUCGGAUAACCGUAGUAAUUCUAGAGCUAAUACGUGCCCGAAGGCGAGUCCUCUCGUGGUAUAAGUUGGAGAUACAAACCAAUGUUUGGUGAUUCACAACUUCUUUUCUGAUUGGGUCUUUGACCCGACGCGUCGUUCAAAUUUCUGACCUAUCAACUUUGGAUGGUAGGGUAUUGUCCUACCAU
rnacentral:rRNA from 1 species